AAAAUUGAAUAAGCAAAGCCGGAGACAGCAGGUGCUAAUUGCUUAAUAUCCUGCCGAGGUAGAAGUUCUAUUGCCGAAAGUUGCACGAAAAUUGUGUGUAACUGUGGCCGCAAUAGUCUUGAUACUAAACCCCGGCUGAGAUAGCUGGGGUUUAUUGUUAUGCCC
rfam:Nostoc sp. PCC 7524, complete genome.